GGAGGUUACGCCUUCCCUCAUCCCCGGUAGAGGCAGGGCGGGACUGUUGUGGUUGAGAUGAAGGCUAGUAAAUGGUGAAGUACUUCCCGGCCAGAGGGCACCUGCGCUCGGGAGGUUUGGGCGGCUUGGCGUCGGAGGAGAGCCCCACCCGCGGAGGAACCCAGCCUUGCCAACGGAGCUGGCGGAGCUCACUCCUCAGGUCAGGCGGGCGGCGUAGAAAACGCAGCGGAGCCAGGUGAAACCAAGGCACCGCCGUGGCUGGCCCCCGACAGUUCCUCUAGCCGGGAGGUUGGAGGAGCUGAAAACGCCGCGGAGCCCUCGGCCGCCCGAGCAGGGGCUGGACCCCAGCCCUUGCAGCCUCCCUUCUCCUGGCACCCAAGUGCAGUCCUGGCUGCAGAAGGGGCCGCGGGCGCACUGAGUUUCCAACCUCCAUUUCAGCCUGUCUGUCUCAGGGUGCAGCCUUAAUGAGAGGUGAUUCCUAAGCUGCUGGGAACCUGAGGUUGUCAAAGGGGCGGCAGGAAAUGGACAGCAGUAUAAAACCCAGAAGCAGAACUUGAAGGUUAAACCACUAGCCCAUUUCACAGAAUGUUUCAUCCAUUUGUGGACCAAAAGAUGGAGUUGGUUUUUAUUUUUAAAAAGAUAAUGUUAAUGAUCUGAUACCACUACAAAUAUUUACGUGAGAAGAUUCAUGGACUUGUCUUUUGGUUGGACUGUCACUCAUUUCUGAAAGUUUCUUCAGCCACAAUUUCUAUUUGAAAAUUCAAGUAUCAAAGGAUACCAGGUUUAGAAUGGUAUAAUGAUGUAUUUUGUCUGAGGACUGCAAAUUUUAUAGAGACCACAGUUGGAUUCCAGUGAUAUUCUGCAAUCAAAGUGAUUUGAUAAACCUAAUUUUGAAGCAUUUUAUAUUUAUAAGCGACAUCAAAAGAUGGGAGAAAAAAAUGGCGAUGCAAAAACUUUCUGGAUGGAGCUAGAAGAUGAUGGAAAAGUGGACUUCAUUUUUGAACAAGUACAAAAUGUGCUGCAGUCACUGAAACAAAAGAUCAAAGAUGGGUCUGCCACCAAUAAAGAAUACAUCCAAGCAAUGAUUCUAGUGAAUGAAGCAACUAUAAUUAACAGUUCAACAUCAAUAAAGGAUCCUAUGCCUGUGACUCAGAAGGAACAGGAAAACAAAUCCAAUGCAUUUCCCUCUACAUCAUGUGAAAACUCCUUUCCAGAAGACUGUACAUUUCUAACAACAGAAAAUAAGGAAAUUCUCUCUCUUGAAGAUAAAGUUGUAGACUUUAGAGAAAAAGACUCAUCUUCGAAUUUAUCUUACCAAAGUCAUGACUGCUCUGGUGCUUGUCUGAUGAAAAUGCCACUGAACUUGAAGGGAGAAAACCCUCUGCAGCUGCCAAUCAAAUGUCACUUCCAAAGACGACAUGCAAAGACAAACUCUCAUUCUUCAGCACUCCACGUGAGUUAUAAAACCCCUUGUGGAAGGAGUCUACGAAACGUGGAGGAAGUUUUUCGUUACCUGCUUGAGACAGAGUGUAACUUUUUAUUUACAGAUAACUUUUCUUUCAAUACCUAUGUUCAGUUGGCUCGGAAUUACCCAAAGCAAAAAGAAGUUGUUUCUGAUGUGGAUAUUAGCAAUGGAGUGGAAUCAGUGCCCAUUUCUUUCUGUAAUGAAAUUGACAGUAGAAAGCUCCCACAGUUUAAGUACAGAAAGACUGUGUGGCCUCGAGCAUAUAAUCUAACCAACUUUUCCAGCAUGUUUACUGAUUCCUGUGACUGCUCUGAGGGCUGCAUAGACAUAACAAAAUGUGCAUGUCUUCAACUGACAGCAAGGAAUGCCAAAACUUCCCCCUUGUCAAGUGACAAAAUAACCACUGGAUAUAAAUAUAAAAGACUACAGAGACAGAUUCCUACUGGCAUUUAUGAAUGCAGCCUUUUGUGCAAAUGUAAUCGACAAUUGUGUCAAAACCGAGUUGUCCAACAUGGUCCUCAAGUGAGGUUACAGGUGUUCAAAACUGAGCAGAAGGGAUGGGGUGUACGCUGUCUAGAUGACAUUGACAGAGGGACAUUUGUUUGCAUUUAUUCAGAUCCACAUUCUACACAUCCUGCCUAGACGUUCAUCUCUCAUACUUCUCAAAAUAACUCUUGGAUGAAAGCUACCUGUAAAAUGCCAGGUGGUGUCCAGGAAGUAUCAUUGGUUUUAUCGUUGUUGCUGGAAAAUGUAACUAAGAUAUGUCUCCGAUCUAACAAUGGGAAGAUUACUAAGCAGAGCUAACACUGAAAAAUCUUAUGGUAUUGAUGAAAACGGGAGAGAUGAGAAUACUAUGAAAAAUAUAUUUUCAAAAAAGAGGAAAUUAGAAGUUGCAUGUUCAGAUUGUGAAGUUGAAGUUCUCCCAUUAGGAUUGGAAACACAUCCUAGAACUGCUAAAACUGAGAAAUGUCCACCAAAGUUCAGUAAUAAUCCCAAGGAGCUUACUGUGGAAACGAAAUAUGAUAAUAUUUCAAGAAUUCAAUAUCAUUCAGUUAUUAGAGAUCCUGAAUCCAAGACAGCCAUUUUUCAACACAAUGGGAAAAAAAUGCAUAGUUGUUGCCCAAAUCUCUUGGUACAGAAUGUUUUUGUAGAAACACACAACAGGAAUUUUCCAUUGGUGGCAUUCUUCACCAACAGCUGUAUUCUUCAGGACUUGUGGAAUGUGAGGAUCAGGAUCCACUUAAUCCUGAUAGAAGUUUUGAUGUGGAAUCAGUAAAGAAAGAAAUCCAGAGAGGAAGGAAGUUGAAAUGCAAAUUUUGUCAUAAAAGAGGAGCCACCGUGGGAUGUGAUUUAAAAAACUGUAACAAGAAUUACCACUUUUUCUGUGCCAAGAAGGACGACGCAGUUCCACAGUCUGAUGGAGUUCGAGGAAUUUAUAAACUGCUUUGCCAGCAACAUGCUCAAUUCCCGAUCAUCGCUCAAAGUGCUAAAUUUUCAGGAGUGAAAAGAAAAAGAGGAAGGAAGAAACCCCUCUCAGGCAAUCAUGUACAGCCACCCGAAACAAUGAAAUGUAAUACAUUCAUAAGACAAGUGAAAGAAGAGCAUGGCAGACACACAGAUGCAACUGUGAAAGUUCCUUUUCUUAAGAAAUGCAAGGAAGCAGGACUUCUUAAUUACUUACUUGAAGAAAUAUUAGACAAAGUUCAUUCAAUUCCAGAAAAACUCAUGGAUGAGACUACUUCAGAAUCAGACCAAGCACUUCCCAAACAGUGUGCCUGAGAACCACCUGUAGGGCUGGUGAGGACACAGAUAGCUGGGCCUAUCCCACAGAGAUUCUGAUUCAGUACAAAUACCAAGAAUUGGGGGCCAGGCGCGGUGGCUCACGCCUGUAAUCCCAGCACUUUGGGAGCCCGAGACUAUGAAGAAAUCGGGAGUGCACUUUUUGACUGUAGAUUGUUCGAAGACACAUUUGUAAAUUUUCAAGCAGCAAUAGAGAAAAAAAUUCAUGCAUCUCAACAAAGGUGGCAGCAGUUGAAGGAAGAGAUUGAGCUACUUCAGGACUUAAAACAAACCUUGUGCUCUUUUCAAGAAAAUAGAGAUCUUAUGUCAAGUUCUACAUCAAUAUCAUCCCUGUCUUAUUAGGGAUUACCGUUUCCUAAGCCAAGAGUCAUGUCAAAUUGCAAUCAGGCUCAAAACCAGAGACCAGGCUGUGAAAUCCACACAUCUUUAGAACUAGUCGUCUCCUCUUGGCCUCAGCAGCUCUUCCCUGUUCUUACUGGUUGACAUUUUGAUCACUCUUUGCACACUCUUGUGUUUUUUGCUCACUGUCACAUUCCCAGCACCUAGUAUGCUCAGUAAAUGUUUGUGGAAUAAGUGCAUAAAAUGUUCUUAACCUUUGAUUCUACUUACAGCCCAUGAUAGCCUCUUAGAUAUAAUAAAUUUGGAUUAUACUA